GAACCGACAUAACAAUGACCGGGUAUCUUCGAUUUAAUUCUGUGUUAAAAAAAGUUAUAUGCGAAACCAAAGCUAAACAUGUCAAUUCUAAAAAAAAGAAAUUAAUUCAGUUAGACAGUGCUCAAAAAUGGUAACAUUAAAUCUAGUGGUUGACGAAAAGGACUCUCUCUCUCUCUUUUCUCUCUCUUAUAUCUUUCAGAGAGAGAGAGAGAGUCCGCCGGAUUUCUUAACCGGCGCGUGACUCCCGUUUGGUCGGGCCUUGAAUCUGGCAUGUGGUGGCUAUCUGAGCACCGCGUGGCCGGCUCCUUGACUCUGGCAUGUGGUGGCUUCCUGAGCACCGCGUGGCCGGCUCGUAGACUCUGGCAUGUGGUGGCUACCUAAGCACUAUGAGGCUAGUUCUACAGAUCUGAUAGCCUUCAACUUAUCUCCCUCUUGUUUGAGCCGAUUCAUCUUCUCACUCAACCUUAUCUACAAAGAUGAUUGUUGUGAUUGUGCGGUCUGGAUGCUAUCGGAGGCGUGUAGAUAGUGGUGGCUUUCUGUUGAAUCAAGUGUCUUUCUCAUAGGUGAAGUGAUUGUCUCAGCGAUUCACUCGGUCGCGUUGGAUUUUCGCCGGUAGUUGCUCUGCUCCGAUGAGAUAGGUCUCCGGUUGUUCAGAGUUCGGGUUUGAAGUCCUGUAACGGUGGAGGUUGGAGACGGGUUCUGCUGUCAACGCGUGUCGUUACAUGUGGGCUUAACAGGCGAAGUUCCUUCGUUUCAUCCUCUUGAGUGAUCUUCUGACUGGACUUUCUUUGGGCCUUGUUUUUUAUGGUUUACUUUUUGUCCCUCUGUUUGGGCAUUUGUCUUGUAUGUUUCAGCCCUUUCUUUGGACCUCAUGUACUUUUUGCUCUUGUUUAUAAUAAUAUAUCAGAUGACAAAAGACAGUGCUCAAAAUCGAUAGAUGUUACAAUAUUUAUCAAAUUAAAAAUUAAUCAACAACUAGUCUCA
rnacentral:lncRNA from 1 species